AGAGUUUGAUCAUGGCUCAGGAUGAACGCUAGCGGCAGGCCUAACACAUGCAAGUCGAACGGUAACAUGAGAGCUUGCUCUUGAUGACGAGUGGCGCACGGGUGCGUAACGCGUAUGCAACCUACCUUUUACUGAGGGAUAGCCCAGAGAAAUUUGGAUUAAUACCUCAUAGUAUCAUAAAUGUUCAUGCAUUAAUGAUUAAAACUUCGGUGGUAAAAGAUGGGCAUGCGUAAGAUUAGCUAGUUGGUAAGGUAACGGCUUACCAAGGCGACGAUCUUUAGGGGGCCUGAGAGGGUGGUCCCCCACACUGGUACUGAGACACGGACCAGACUCCUACGGGAGGCAGCAGUGAGGAAUAUUGGUCAAUGGACGAAAGUCUGAACCAGCCAUGCCGCGUGAAGGAAGAAGGUGUUCUGCAUCGUAAACUUCUUUUAUAUAGGAAGAAACUUCUCUACGUGUAGAGAACUGACGGUACUAUAUGAAUAAGGACCGGCUAACUCCGUGCCAGCAGCCGCGGUAAUACGGAGGGUCCAAGCGUUAUCCGGAUUUAUUGGGUUUAAAGGGUCCGUAGGCGGAUUUUUAAGUCAGUGGUGAAAGCCUGCAGCUCAA
rnacentral:rRNA from 1 species